rnacentral:rRNA from 1 species
CAAUGCAUAUCCCGGAAGCGGAGGAAAAGAAACCAACAGGGAUUGCCCCAGUAACGGCGAGUGAAGCGGCAAGAGCUCAAAUUUGAAAUCUGGCCUCCCCCGGGGGCCCGAGUUGUAAUUUGCAGAGGAUGUUUCGGGUGCGGCCGCCGUCUAAGUUCCUUGGAACAGGACGUCAGAGAGGGUGAGAAUCCCGUCUUGGGCGGGCGGUCCGCGCCCGUGUGAAGCUCCUUCGACGAGUCGAGUUGUUUGGGAAUGCAGCUCUAAGCGGGUGGUAAAUUUCAUCUAAAGCUAAAUAUUGGCCGGAGACCGAUAGCGCACAAGUAGAGUGAUCGAAAGGUUAAAAGCACCUUGAAAAGGGAGUUAAACAGCACGUGAAAUUGUUGAAAGGGAAGCGCUUGCGGCCAGACUCGGGGGCGGGGUUCAGCGGGUGCUCGUCGCCCGUGUAUUCCUCGUUUCCCGGGCCAGCAUCAGUUUCGACGGCCGGUCAAAGGCCCCCGGAAUGUGUCGUCUCUCGGGACGUCUUAUAGCCGGGGGUGCAAUGCGGCCCGUCGGGACUGAGGAUCGCGCUCCGCCUCGGAUGCAAUCGAGCGC